AUUGAACGCUGGCGGCAUGCCUAACACAUGCAAGUCGAGCGGAUGAUGGGAGCUUGCUCCUGGAUUCAUCGGCGGACGGGUGAGUAAUGCCUAUGAAUCUGCCUUGUCGUGGGGGAUAACGUCCGGAAACGGGCUCUAAUACCGCAUCCGUCCUGUGGGCGCCAUUGGGUGAUCUUCGGACCUCUCGCUAUCAGAUGAGCCUAGGUCUGAUUAGCUAGUUGGUGGGGUAACUGCCUAACAAGGCGACGAUCCGUAACUGGUCUGAGAGGAUGAUCAGUCACACGGGAACUGAGACACGGUCCAGACUCCUACGGGAGGAAGCAGUGGGGAAUAUUGGACAAUGGGCGAAAGGCUGAUACAGCAAAGCCGCGUGUGUGAAGAAGGUGUUAGGAUGGGAAAGCAAUGUAAGUUGGGAGGAAGGGAAGUAAGUUAAUACGGGGCUGUUUUGACGGUACCAACAGAAUAAGCACCGGCUAACUCCGUG
rnacentral:rRNA from 1 species